rnacentral:rRNA from 1 species
UACGAAGGGGGCGAGCGUUGUUCGGAUUUACUGGGCGUAAAGGGCGCGUAGGCGCUUGUCAGUCAGGCGUGAAAGCCCCGGGCUCAACCUGGGAACGGCGCUUGGGACGGCGAGGCUGGAGUUCGGGAGAGGAGAGUGGAAUUCCCAGUGUAGAGGUGAAAUUCGUAGAUAUUGGGAAGAACACCGGUGGCGAAGGCGGCUAUCUGGACCGUAACUGACGCUGAGGCGCGAAAGCCAGGGGAGCAAACGGG